GACGAACGCUGGCGGCGUGCUUAACACAUGCAAGUCGAGCGGAAAGGCCCUUUCGGGGGUACUCGAGCGGCGAACGGGUGAGUAACACGUGAGUAAUCUGCCCUGUGCUUUGGGAUAGCCACCGGAAACGGUGAUUAAUACCGGAUACGACCAACCUACGCAUGUGGUGUUGGUGGAAAGUUUUUCGGCGCAGGAUGUGCUCGCGGCCUAUCAGCUUGUUGGUGGGGUAAUGGCCUACCAAGGCUUCGACGGGUAGCCGGCCUGAGAGGGUGGCCGGGCACACUGGGACUGAGACACGGCCCAGACUCCUACGGGAGGCAGCAGUGGGGAAUAUUGGACAAUGGGCGGAAGCCUGAUCCAGCAACGCCGCGUGAGGGAUGACGGCCUUCGGGUUGUAAACCUCUUUCAGCACCGACGAAGCGAGAGUGACGGUAGGUGCAGAAGAAGGACCGGCCAACUACGUGCCAGCCGCCGCUGUAAUAC
rnacentral:rRNA from 1 species